rnacentral:rRNA from 1 species
UUAGAGUUUGAUCCUGGCUCAGAACGAACGUUGGCGGCGUGGAUUAGGCAUGCAAGUCGAACGAAUCCCCAGCAAUGGGGGGAAGUGGCGAAAGGGGCAGUAAGGCAUGGGUAACCUACCCCGAGGACCGGGAUAGCCACUCUAACGAGUGGGUAAUACCGGGCGCGGUAUUCGCGGGGCAUCCCGUGGAUAUGGAAGGGUCCGCCGCCUCGGGAGGGGCUCAUGUAGUAUUAGCUAGUUGGUGAGGUAACGGCCCACCAAGGCAAAGAUGCUUAGCGGGUGUGAGAGCACGACCCGCGCCACUGGCACUGAGAACUGGCCAGACUCCUACGGGAGGCUGCAGUCGAGGAUCUUCGGCAAUGGGCGCAAGCCUGACCGAGCGACGCCGCGUGUGCGAUGAAGGCCUUCGGGUUGUAAAGCACUGUCGAGGGGGAGAAAGCCGUAAGGUUGAUCGACCCCUGGAGGAAGCACGGGCUAAGUUCGUGCCAGCAGCCGCGGUAAGACGAACCGUGCGAACGUUGUUCGGAUUCACUGGGCUUAAAGGGCGCGUAGGCGGGCUGUCAAGUCGGGGGUGAAAUCCCACAGCUUAACUGUGGAAGUGCCUCCGAUACUGGGAGCCUUGAGGGAGGUAAGGGGUGUGUGGAACUUCCGGUGGAGCGGUGAAAUGCGUAGAUAUCGGAAGGAACGCCGGUGGCGAAAGCGACGCACUGGACCUCUUCUGACGCUGAGGCGCGAAAGCUAGGGGAGCAAACGGGAUUAGAUACCCCGGUAGUCCUAGCCCUAAACGAUGGGUACUAGGUAGUGGGCCAGCAUGGGCUCCCUGCCGAAGCGAAAGUGAUAAGUACCCCGCCUGGGGAGUAUGGUCGCAAGGCUGAAACUCAAAGGAAUUGACGGGGGCUCACACAAGCGGUGGAGCAUGUGGCUUAAUUCGAGGCUACGCGAAGAACCUUAUCCUGGGCUUGACAUGUCCGAAAGGGGUAGGAAGUAGGGUGCGGAAACGUUACCCGAACGGUAUCCAGUCCGGAACCUACCACAGGUGCUGCAUGGCUGUCGUCAGCUCGUGUCGUGAGAUGUUGGGUUAAGUCCCGUAACGAGCGAAACCCCUGUUUCCAGUUGCCAGCGGUUCGGCCGGGGACUCUGGAAAGACUGCCGGUGUUAAACCGGAGGAAGGCGGGGAUGACGUCAAGUCCUCAUGGCCUUUAUGCCCAGGGCUGCACACGUGCUACAAUGGUACGCACAAAGGGAAGCAAACCCGCGAAGGGGAGCAAAUCCCAGAAAACGUGCCCCAGUUCAGAUCGAAGGCUGCAACUCGCCUUCGUGAAGUUGGAAUCGCUAGUAAUCGCGGGUCAGCAACACCGCGGUGAAUGUGUUCCUGAGCCUUGUACACACCGCCCGUCAAGCCACGAAAG